rnacentral:rRNA from 1 species
AGGAUUCCCUUAGUAACUGCGAGUGAAGUGGGAAAAGCUCAAAUUUGAAAUCUGAUAGUCUUUUGGCUGUCCGAGUUGUAAUCUAGAGAAGUGUUACCUGUGCUGGACCAUGUAAAAGUCUUCUGGAAUGAAGUAUCAUAGAGGGUGAGAAUCCCGUCUUUUGACAUGGACUACCAGUAUGUUAUGGUGUACUCUCAAAGAGUCGAGUUGUUUGGGAAUGCAGCUCAAAAUGGGUGGUAAAUGCCAUCUAAAGCUAAAUAUUGGCGAGAGACCGAUAGCGAACAAGUACCGUGAGGGAAAGAUGAAAAGAACUUUGGAAAGAGAGUUAAACAGUACGUGAAAUUGCUGAAAGGGAAACGCUUGAAGUCAGUCACAUUGGUUAGAAAUCAGGCUUGCUUUUGCAAGACGCAUUUUCUAGUUGAUGGGUCAGCAUCAAUUUUGACUGUUGGAUAAAGUCAUUGGGAAUGUGGCAUCUUUAGAUGUGUUAUAGCCCAUUGUUGUAUACAGCAGUUAGGAUUGAGGAACUCAGCAUGCUCCUUUAGGAGCCAGGUUUUUAACUAUGUUCAUGCUUAGGAUGCUGGCAUAAUGGCUUUAAUCGACCCGUCUUGAAACACGGACCAAGGAGUCUAACAUGCCUGCAAGUGUUUGGGUGAAAAACCCAUGCGCGUAAUGAAAGUGAAAGUUGAGAUCCUUUUUGGAGCAUUGACGCCCAGACCAGACCUUCUGUGACGGAUCUGCGGUAGAGCAUGUAUGUUGGGACCCGAAAGAUGGUGAACUAUGCCUGAAUAGGGUGAAGCCAGAGGAAACUCUGGUGGAGGCUCGUAGCGAUUCUGACGUGCAAAUCGAUCGUCAAAUUUGGGUAUAGGGGCGAAAGACUAAUCGAA